rnacentral:tRNA from 1 species
GGGGGAAUAGCUCAAAUGGUAGAGCACAUGCUUAGCAUGUGUGAGGUCCUGGGUUCAAUCCCCUGUACCUCCU